rnacentral:rRNA from 1 species
GAUGAACGCUGGCGGCGCGCCUAACACAUGCAAGUCGAACGAUUAAAGCACCUUCGGGUGUGUAUAAAGUGGCGAACGGCUGAGUAACACGUGGGCAACCUGCCCCUUUCAUUGGGAUAGCCACGGGAAACCGUGGAUAAUACCGAAUACUUCGAGACUUCCGCAUGGAAGACUCGAGAAAGCUCCGGCGGAGAGGGAUGGGCCCGCGGCCUGUUAGCUUGUUGGUGCGGUAACGGCCUACCAAGGCAAUGAUGGGUAGCUGGGUUGAGAGACCGACCAGCCAGAUUGGGACUGAGACACGGCGCAGACUCCUACGGGAGGCAGCAGUGGGGAAUCUUGCACAAUGGGCGAAAGCCUGAUGCAGCGACGCCGCGUGCGGGAUGAAGGCUUUCGGGUUGUAAACCGCUUUCAGCAGGGACGAGGCGAAAGUGACGGUACCUGCAGAAGAAGCCCCGGCUAACUACGUG